GAUGAACGCUGGCGGCGUGCCUAAUACAUGCAAGUCGAGCGAACAGACGAGGAGCUUGCUCCUUCGACGUUAGCGGCGGACGGGUGAGUAACACGUAGGUAACCUACCUAUAAGACUGGGAUAACUUCGGGAAACCGGAGCUAAUACCGGAUAAUAUUUCGAACCGCAUGGUUCGAUAGUGAAAGAUGGCUUUGCUAUCACUUAUAGAUGGACCUGCGCCGUAUUAGCUAGUUGGUAAGGUAACGGCUUACCAAGGCAACGAUACGUAGCCGACCUGAGAGGGUGAUCGGCCACACUGGAACUGAGACACGGUCCAGACUCCUACGGGAGGCAGCAGUAGGGAAUCUUCCGCAAUGGGCGAAAGCCUGACGGAGCAACGCCGCGUGAGUGAUGAAGGUCUUCGGAUCGUAAAACUCUGUUAUUAGGGAAGUACAAACGUGUAAGUAACUGUGCACGUCUUGACGGUACCUAAUCAGAAAGCCACGGCUAACUACGUG
rnacentral:rRNA from 1 species